rnacentral:rRNA from 1 species
UACGUAGGGGGCUAGCGUUGUCCGGAAUCAUUGGGCGUAAAGAGCGUGUAGGCGGUCCGGUAAGUCCGCUGUGAAAGUCGGGGGCUCAACCCUCGAAUGCCGGUGGAUACUGUCGGGCUAGAGUGCGGAAGAGGCGAGUGGAAUUCCUGGUGUAGCGGUGAAAUGCGCAGAUAUCAGGAGGAACACCUAUUGCGAAGGCAGCUCGCUGGGGCGUAACUGACGCUGAGACGCGAAAGCGUGGGGAGCAAACAGG